rnacentral:rRNA from 1 species
CCUACGGGAGGCUGCAGUGGGGAAUAUUGGACAAUGGGGGGAACCCUGAUCCAGCCAUGCCGCGUGUGUGAUGAAGGCCCUCGGGUUGUAAAGCACUUUCAGUGAGGAAGAACGCCUGGUGGUUAAUACCCAUCAGGAAAGACAUCACUCACAGAAGAAGCACCGGCUAACUCCGUGCCAGCAGCCGCGGUAAUACGGAGGGUGCGAGCGUUAAUCGGAAUUACUGGGCGUAAAGCGCGCGUAGGUGGCUUGAUAAGCCGGUUGUGAAAGCCCCGGGCUCAACCUGGGAACGGCAUCCGGAACUGUCAAGCUAGAGUGCAGGAGAGGAAGGUAGAAUUCCCGGUGUAGCGGUGAAAUGCGUAGAGAUCGGGAGGAAUACCAGUGGCGAAGGCGGCCUUCUGGACUGACACUGACACUGAGGUGCGAAAGCGUGGGUAGCAAACAGGAUUAGAUACCCGUGUAGUC